rnacentral:rRNA from 1 species
CAGCCCUAAACGAUGCGCGUUAGGUGUAUCGGUGACCACGAGUCACCGAGGUGCCGAAGGGAAACCGUGAAACGUGCCGCCUGGGAAGUACGGUCGCAAGGCUGAAACUUAAAGGAAUUGGCGGGGGGAGCACCACAACGGGUGGAGCCUGCGGUUUAAUUGGACUCAACGCCGGGAAGCUCACCGGAUAAGACAGCGGAAUGAUUGCCGGGCUGAAGACCCUGCAUGACCAGCUGAGAGGUGGUGCAUGGCUAGUCGUGU